GUAUACAGCCACCCCACCCUAAAUACACCUCUCAUCUGAUCUUGAAAGCUUAGCAGGGUCGGGCCUCACUAGUACUCAGAUGGGAGAGAGAGGCUUAGCAAGGGUAGGACUGGGGAGGCAGGAACA
ensembl:rRNA 5S_rRNA 5S ribosomal RNA